ensembl:lncRNA
UCUCUACCUGGAGAUCCCUUCUUUUGGAGAUUUUUAGUGAGCCUUGAGACAGUGUAUGGUUAUGUAUGGUAUAGAUUGACCUGAUAGUGGUCAGGGACUGCACUCCCACAGGUUUCAUUGGGCACAUGCUGGAACACAAGAAGCUCUGUACAAACACGAAGAAAAGCUUCUGCUUGAGGGUGACAAAGCCCUGGGCCAGGCUGCCCAGAGAGGUGGCGGAAGUCUCCUUCUCCAGGGAUGUUCAAGACCUGCCUGGACACUUUCCUGUGUAACCUACUGCGGUCUUGUCAAGUUACAAAAAACCUGAGAGAUUCUUCUGCCUUUGCUUUCCAUCAACAAAAUCAGCUGUGCUUCUGGUGCUAUUGAAGUCGCACGGAGACAGUUGGACAGAGUGUGGUCAUUGCUAAGUGGAGAGAGAGAAGGCUGCGAAACCCCUUUUAUUUAAUGCGGACAUCAAGGCAGAUGAUGUCUUGAUUAUUUUUCAAGACUCGUACUAUAAUUCUUUCAAGUUAAUAAACUGAGAUUGUAUAUUCAUGUCAGGCUAAUAGCAUCAGGGAAGAGUUUAAUAUAAUUUGCCAGAUGUAUGCAAAUAUUUCCACUGACUUCAGCAAUAUCAGCUGGGUGAGUACAAUGUAUGGCAUAUUACCUCUAAUCUCACCCAUCUCUUUCCUGCAAAUUUUCAUAAGGGUAACUAGAUCGCCUGAGGCCAGCUUGCAGCGAAUAUAACAAUGGAAGGAAAGGGAGAUGCUAAUAAUUUAUCCACACAUGACAAUAUACAGUGUCAGUCCUGACCCCCUGCAAUAUCUAUCAUACAAGCUAUUCCUUUCCUGGAACUCUGUGUAGUAAGAGGGGCUAACUGUUGCUGCUCUCAGAAGCUGCCUCUUUACAUGGAUGGGCUGUCUCCUCCUGUUAAUACCUGCUUCCUUUAUAUGUUAGAGUUCACUCUUACAGUCCUUACAUUUUCAGUCUCAACUUUCCAACUUCCUUUUUGUUAAAUCUCUUGAAGGAAAUAGCAGAUCCUCUUUACUUGCUUUCCUUUUUGGAUUCUUUAGUUAUCUUGUUCAAGACAGAACUUGUGGCUAUUUGUGGUGGACCAAUGAACAAAGUUUGGGAUUCUAAUUAAACUGUGUUUGGUUGUAGUUUGAGCAGGACAAUUAAAUAGGUAAACCUGCACUGUUUCCAUGAAAACUUAAUAUCCAAUUUACCCUAAAUAAAAUUUUUGGCACUC